rnacentral:rRNA from 1 species
ACCCGCACAAGCGGUGGAUGAUGUGGUUUAAUUCGAUGCAACGCGAAAACCUUACCACCUUUGACAUGUACGGAAUCCUUUAGAGAUAGAGGAGUGCUCGAAAGAGAACCGUAACACAGGUGCUGCAUGGCUGUCGUCAGCUCGUGUCGUGAGAUGUUGGGUUAAGUCCCGCAACGAGCGCAACCCUUGUCAUUAGUUGCUACAUUCAGUUGGGCACUCUAAUGAGACUGCCGGUGACAAACCGGAGGAAGGUGGGGAUGACGUCAAGUCCUCAUGGCCCUUAUAGGUGGGGCUACACACGUCAUACAAUGGAUGGUACAAAGGGUCGCCAACCCGCGAGGGGGAGCCAAUCCCAUAAAGCCAUUCGUAGUCCGGAUCGCAGUCUGCAACUCGACUGCGUGAAGUCGGAAUCGCUAGUAAUCGUGGAUCAGAAUGUCACGGUGAAUACGUUCCCGGGUCUU